rnacentral:rRNA from 1 species
AACGAACGCUGGCGGCAGGCUUAACACAUGCAAGUCGAGCGCCCCGCAAGGGGAGCGGCAGACGGGUGAGUAACGCGUGGGAAUAUACAUCUCUCUACGGAAUAACGCAGGGAAAAGUGUGUUAAUACCGCAUAAGUCCUCAGGGUAAAAGAUUUAUCGGAGAUGGAUGAGCACGCGUUGGUGUAGCUAGUUUGUGGGGUAAAGUCCUACCAAGGGGACGUUCCAUAGCUGGUCUGAGAGGAUGAUCAGCCACACUGGGACUUAGACACGGCCCGGACUCGUACGGGAGGCAGCAGUGGGGAAUAUUGGACAAUGGGCGCAAGCCUGAUCCAGCCAUGCCUCGUGAGUGAUGAAGGCCCUAGGGUUGUAAAGCUCUUUCACCGGUGAAGAUAAUGACGGUAACCGGAGAAGAAGCCCCGGCUAACUUCGUGCCAGCCGCCGCAGUAACAC